GGGGAGUACAUCUUGUCCUUUAUCUUUCAAAUAAAGCUAGGUGGGUACUCCCUUCCUUCCUCACUGCUUCAUGUGUGUUCCUCCCUAAGCUGCAGGCUCAGUGGAAGAGGAAGACCAUCCCUGAUAGAGGAAGAUCAUCUCCUCCAACAAAGGCCCAGGAGUAGCUGUGAUCCCCUGUGAGGACCUCAAGAAAAGCUCUCAAAUAAAUCAGUGCUCCUACUGCAACUGUCAGGUGUCUUGUUCAAUCCUUUAUUUAGAACCGGGACAAGAUCCUC
rnacentral:sRNA from 1 species